AGGAAUCCCGGCGUGGACAGCGCGAGGAGAAAGAUGGCGGCGAUGGCGGUCGGGGGUGCUGGUGGGAGCCGCGUGUCCAGCGGGAGGGACCUGAAUUGCGUCCCCGAAAUAGCUGACACACUAGGGGCUGUGGCCAAGCAGGGGUUUGAUUUCCUCUGCAUGCCUGUCUUCCAUCCGCGUUUCAAGAGGGAGUUCAUUCAGGAACCUGCUAAGAAUCGGCCCGGUCCCCAGACACGAUCAGACCUACUGCUGUCAGGAAGGGGUAGGGACCAUCCCAUAUGCCCCUUAAUUAUUAGAGGCAACAACAACUUCUGCUUUAUCGGGGCCCUCAUUCUCCUCCUUUUCUGACUUGGAUAUAUUUGUUAGUCCCUGGGAUAUAGAUAACUUGUUUUCUCCUUGCUUCUCUAUUCUGCAUCAGGCUAUCCCAUGUCUAUGUAGAAAAAACCUUUGUCUCUCAUUUCUACUCUUGAUUCCCAAAACUAAAAAUUGAACAAGUAAAGUGCUGAACCUUAUUCAGUAUUUGUCUUUCUUGGGUGGGGGAGUGCAGACUGGAAUACGCUAAUUGUGGGAAAGCUUUCUCCAUGGAUUCGUCCAGACUCAAAAGUGGAGAAGAUUCGCAGGAACUCCG
rnacentral:sRNA from 1 species